UUAGUAAUUGAUUUCAAAACAAGAAAAAAUAGUUAAAAACCUAUUUUAAUUAAUGAAAACUGCAAUAAAUAUUUUUAAUUAAAAAGACCAAAUUAAAUUGAAUAUUUUUUUCUUUCUUUCUUUUCUUUUCUCUCCUGACGUUUUUCUCACCUCCGUUUUAUUUUUCUUCUUCUACAUCUUCUUCCUUGUACCAAUUUCUCCUCUCCUUUUUCUCCAUCUUCUUCCUCUCCCCUCUUCUUCUUUGACCAGCAAGAACAUAGUGGUUUUAGAUCUGAUCUAGUGGCAUGGGAGAUGUGAUUUUAGAUCUGCACCUCCAUAACCAUGCCGCUGGUGACCAUGGAGGCAGAUGUGGACCACGACUUCAGCGACGAACUUUAGUGAUCUUCCUUGUUCUAGGGUUUGGGUUUGAAUUGGGCUCAAAAUUCGAGGCUUCAAAUAUUUACCACCAAUUAUGUGGUUUUAAAUUUGGGUUGGAUGUAUGAAGGUAAUGAGUUCCUGGUGGUUAUGGAAGGUGAGGAAGAAGAGAAGAACCGUGGGAGUUAUUUUGUUUAAUUUUUAUUAAUUAAAUAUAUA